CGAGCUGCACCCCUGGGGCACCCUUUGUGUAUUUGCAGAUUUCCUUUGUUCAGGGGCCUACAUGCUGUCCUUGUCACCUCAGGGGUGCUGCCAGCAUGGAGGCCUGGCCUUGUCAUUGUGCAGAUGAAAGAACUGCUGCCAAAACAAAAGGCAGAGAGAAUUCCUUCCUGGGUUUGGAGCCCCCUGGACAGGAUCCAUUCUACUGAGCAAGCAAGGCUGAACAGUCCCACAGCCCUAAACACAGCUGCAAAGUGUCCUUGUGCCCAUCACCCUCGAUCCAGCAGGGCUGCAGAGAGGACAAACUCUGACCUUUAAACCAAAAGGGACAAAACCUUGUACAGGGCCUGGCCUGGAAGGCCUGGAUGUGAUGGCCGCUCCCAGGGAGAGAGACCAGAGGCCCUGUGAGUAGAGACCAGGACUGUUCCCAGGAAACCAUGGCAAGGUGUCAGGAGCAGGCAUUAGAGACAGGGCCAGGGAGAUGUGAUGCAGGUGGCUGAGGGAGAGCAUCAUGGAGAUGUAGAAAUUGAAACUAGGAAACAGGAUUUCCUUUAUCUCUGACAACAUGAGCCUGCACGGAUGGAAGGCCUGCUGUGUCAUCACAGUGUUAGAAAUGAACUUUUAGAUACAAAUAAAUGGACACACAAAGUAGUGGAGGCAAAAGAAAUCUGUUUAUUAGUAACAAUUCACCUGAGCUGCAGGUAUGCCCUCUUUCCCCCAAGAGCCAAACACACACACCCUCCAAAACAAGCACUAUAUUUUAUCCCCUUUCCUGGCCAGGGGCAAUCCCUGUCCCCUUUCCCAUUGCCUGGGUACUUGAGAAUUUCUAUUCUCUCCUCACCGCCUACUUUUCUGUCCGCAUUCCUCUGAUCCUACUUCCUUUUUGGUCAGGUCUUUAACCUGGCUGCUUUCCCAGCUCACAGCAGCACCCAACAAAUUAACUGGAGCAAAUCCAAACCAGAAAUAACAACACACAGAACCAACUUUCAUUGUUUUACCUAAUAACCUUUUGGGUUCAGCAAAAUAUUACCUCAUCUCUGACAACAGGGUAGAGGACUCUGAUGUCACCAACCUCUGGAUGAUGACAUCAGGCAUUGCUGGAUUGUGACCUCACCUUCUCUCCCUGCUUAUCUUGGGGUUCCAAGGAGUUUCAAUGCCUUUUGUGCUGUCACAGGGGUUGGAGGCUGGUGUCAGAGAGCAGUGGGCUGUGACAUCACAGAGGGAUGCAUUGUGACAUUGUGCCCCUCAAUACCAAGGAAUACUUUUGAAAACUACUUCCCAAAGUGAAUCUUUCUCCAAGCAGAUGGACUGGCAAAACCCAUAAUCUGUGAGCAGAAGACAGGAAUAUUUUUGCCUGUUGGAAAAAUGCCAUAGCAAUGUGCUCUUGACUAGGCGCACUCUUGUCCUUACCAUAAAGAAAAGACACUGAACAAAAUGAAA